GGUCGGUUGCAUAUUUCACAUAAUCGAGAAGAGGAUGAUGGAUCAAUCUUCCUCCUCUUCCAUCGCACCAGCUGUGGCACUCUUGGCUAUCAUGUUAAUAUGCUGCCCCCUGCCAUGUUCAACAGCCAAAGGUAAGUCUCCACUAAUAUAAAAAGAAAGAGAGCUGGAGAUCCGAACAAUCUCAGCCCUUCAACUAUGUCGAUCGAAUGGUUUAGGUUUCCCCAAUGUUGAGUAUCAAACGUGUUCCUGUUGAGUGCUCCGCCUCUAACCACCCAGACCCUCUCCCUAAUCGCCACAAUCCCGCAGACGUUUCCUUUCAAGCGCAACCGCUCCAUCCAUUUCACUCCCACGUGCCCCAUGACGUCGUUGCUCUGGACAUCAGGACAUGCCCCAGCGUAGAGGAAGUACCUUAGCCGACGCAUGGCCUCCAACUUGACGUUUUUCUGAGUGUUGCAUUCCAAUUUUGCAGACCCUCCGAGCGCCGCUGCCGGUGGCAUGCGACUAGACGUUGUCGCCGCCACACACCCUCAGGGUUCCUUGCGAUCCAUCUGUGGUGACGUCCAGACCUGUUCCCUUCAUCUUCCGUAUAUGAAUCGCGUGAACAUCCAAGACCUACACGGCUGCCUACUGCCAUACCUUGCCCACGCCGCUGUGCCCGCGCGAGCACGCAGCCACCGCCCUCGCCAUGCUCGUGUCCGUCCUCGCAGCUAAUCACGACCGUGCUGACCCCCCGAUAUUCUGACUCUCUCACUCUCUGCGCUCAAGAUUGGCAAGGCGGCCACGCUUGAAUAUCAGCGGCGCGAGGUCGGGUGUCCACGCGCGACGGAGAUGAUGCCUGUUUUAUUGAAUCUGGUCGGUAAAAGUAGCAGGCUCAUCGAUUGAUAAACCUCCAGGCUCACUGUAUGAUGAAAGUAGCAGGCUCAUUGAUUGGUAAACCUUUAGGUUCACUGAUUGAUAAAACAGCAGAUUAGUCAACUUGCUCACAUUAUGUUUGUUAAAAUGCUUCAAAGAGGUAGACGGUAAUGUUCAUAACCGUGAACUCGCCACCAGACU